UUGCUUUGGCAGCACAUACACUAAAACCGGAUCGACACAGAGAAGUUAGCAUGGCCUCUGCGCAAGGAUGCCAUGCAAAGUCACGAAGCGGUCCAUAUUUUU